GGCCAGAUAGCUCAGUUGGUAGAGCAACGGACUGAAAAUCCGUGUGUCGGCGGUUCGAUCCCGCCUCUGGCCACCA
rnacentral:tRNA from 9 species